CUCCUCUCGGGAACUUGGGUUCUAUUGGUCUCCCGUAACAGGGCUAUGGCCCCCUGAAGGAGGCUUUCCCAGAAGCAGGAGGCGCGUGGGCAGCCCUGGACUGAGGGACAAGCACUGGCUGGAGGGACAGUCUCAUCAUCAGAAGCAGAGCUGAGCCUCUGGGAAUGGGGGUGGGGUGGAGCUUAAAGCACACCCCCUCUUCCCUACAGGUUCCAAGGGUCACCCCAUGUCUGGAGGCCAUUCCUCAGAUGCACGGAGUUGGGGAUCCCAGGGUCCAGAAAGAGUCCCACCCACACUCUCCGCCAUCGCCUCACUGGGCCCCUUGCCAUCUCAGUUUCUGCGGGGACUGGGUGGGCAGGCGGGCCCAGGGCUACCCAGGGGGCUGGGGGAAUCCUAACAGGACCCUGCGCCUGUGCGGGGUGACGGACUCCGCAGGUCCGGGAACCCGUUCCCCUCUCCAGAAGACCCCAGAAGACCCCAGACGCCCUCGCGGCUUCCGGCUUGCCCCCACCCUCAGGGCAAGUGCAGCGGGAACUCGGCCCCGCACCUACGGCGCUCCCCGGCCGCCCCUCCCGGCCUGUUUCCUCCUCCUCUGCACUCCCGCCAACUCCCGCCCAUCUCUAGUUUCCACACAGCCCGGACGCACUUCGGGGACAGCCUGGAGCCACUGAGAGGGCGCGCCUCUGUCCUUGUUUCUCCCUUCCCUCCACCCCACCUCCGAGCUCGAGCCCGAGCCCGAGCCCGAGCCCGAACCCGGGAGGCUACGCCAGUGCGGCCGGACCACCGAGACGCGAGGACCUCCGCGCGGCCUAGAGCGGUCCCGGAAGUGCCCGCAGGCGGGGGCGGGGCUGGGGGCGCUCGGGGAGCCGCGGGGUCCGCGUCAGCAGCCGCGGCGGAGCGAGGCCGGAUCUGCGGCGCGUUGGAGCAUCUCAGGUGCGGCCCCGCCCCACUUGCCCGCGGCCCCGCCCCGGCCCAGGUGAGCGGCCCCGCCCCGGCCCAGACUGUGAAAAUAGUAAGUGUCUCCCAAAGAACAUCUUUCAAGAAAUAUAAUUAUUGGGGGUGAUACUAGAUUCACAAUGGAGGUACCCCCAGCAACCAAGCUUGGUGAGACUUUUAUAUUUCAGGAUAGGUUAGAGAUGCAGGAAGAACUUUUCCCAGAGGAGGACCUGGGGGACCCUUUUCUUCAAGAAAGAGGUUUAGAACAAAUGGCUGUUAUCUACAAGGAGAUUCCUCUUGGGGAACAAGACGAGGAGCAUGAUGAUUAUGAGGGGAAUUUCAGUCUGUGUUCAAGCCCUGUUCAGCAUCAGAGUGGCCCCUCAGUGAACAUACCCCAGGAUGAUGAAAUAUUUGCCCCAGCCUUCCUCCAGAAAUCAGACCUUAGCAUGUGUCAGAUAAUCCACGGUGGAGAAGAACCCAGCAAACAUGAUUGUGGGAAAGUGGGCAGGGAGGACUUGGUCCCUAAGGAAUCUCACAGGACUGCGCAACCAGCAAAGCCCUAUGCAUGUCGGGAAUGUGGGAAGGCCUUCAGCCAGAGCUCACACCUUCUCAGGCACCUGGUAAUCCACACGGGGGAGAAGCCCUAUGAGUGCUGUGAGUGUGGGAAGGCUUUCAGCCAGAGCUCACACCUUCUCAGACACCAGAUAAUCCAUACCGGGGAGAAGCCCUACGAAUGCCGGGAAUGUGGGAAAGCCUUUCGCCAGAGCUCAGCCCUUACGCAACAUCAGAAAACCCACACUGGGAAGAGACCCUAUGAGUGUAGAGAAUGUGGAAAAGAUUUCAGUCGGAGCUCAAGUCUCAGAAAACAUGAGAGAAUUCACACUGGAGAGAAACCUUAUCAGUGUAAGGAAUGUGGGAAAUCCUUCAACCAGAGUUCAGGCCUGAGCCAGCAUCGGAAAAUCCACACUCUAAAGAAACCCCAUGAAUGUGACCUCUGCGGGAAAGCCUUCUGUCACAGGUCCCACCUCAUCCGGCACCAGAGGAUACACACAGGGAAGAAACCAUACAAAUGUGAAGAGUGUGGGAAGGCCUUCAGCCAGAGCUCCAACCUGAUUGAACAUCGUAAGACUCACACUGGUGAGAAACCCUACAAAUGCCAUAAGUGUGGGAAAGCCUUCAGCCAGAGCUCCUCCCUUAUCGAGCACCAGCGGAUCCACACAGGGGAGAAGCCCUAUGAGUGUGGCCAGUGUGGGAAGGCCUUCUGCCACAGCUCUGCACUGAUUCAGCACCAGAGAAUCCACACUGGGAAGAAACCCUAUGCGUGCAAUGAGUGUGGCAAAGCCUUCCGGCAAAGGUCUGCCCUCAUUGAGCAUUAUAAAACCCACACCAGAGAGAAACCCUAUGAGUGUAACAAAUGUGGCAAGUCCUUCAGGGGGAGCUCGCACCUUAUUCGACAUCAGAAAAUUCAUGCUGGGGAGAAGCUCUAGAAGAGGAGCUCACACCAAAGUUUGAAAGCCUCUCCCAGGCAGAGCUCACCAUGGUUACUGUCUGUAAGACCUCACCCACCUCCCUGAUGACAGUGCCAAGUGUAAAGGUGCCAACCUAGGCAUUCCUGAACACCCCCAGUAGCAACAAGCCCCCCAUUCCUAUGUGGCUGCUAGCCAGGUGCCCCAUGCUUAGAUUUGCUGGGUGGAAGGGGAAGUGGGGUGAUGGCAAGGCCACUGAAAGGGAGGGUUGCCCAAAGAGAGCUGGCCUCUGGUUGUCUCAUUCUGAUUUUGACUCCUGAGCCUGUGAGAUUUAGUUUUGCCCUCUCUUUGCUUUUGCCAGAAUCCAGAAGAAUAAACAUCAGAGGGAGGAAGCUGAGUUAAAUCCUCAAAAGUGUCAGAUGGACUCUUUAAUGUCAGGCUGCAGUCUGGCACUUUUAGAAGACAGAAACCAUGACCCCAGUCCAAAUCAGCUGGAAAAAAAGGAAUCCCCAAGUAGAUGCAUCAGCAGCAAAAGGAAUCUUCUGCCUGGCUUGGGCAUUGGUGGGGACAGCAAAACAAGUUACAGGACAAAGGGGGGGUCUGGGACUGGGGAAGAGGGCAUUAAGCCCUUGGCGUGGUGUCUCACCGCUCAUUCUGGGUUACAGUGAGGGCACUCUUUGGCAGAUGGCUCUUUCUGAGGAGGUACAGGAGCUUUCUACAGGAGCUUUGGUCCUGUAGGCCAGGAGACGUUUGACAUUGGCUCCAACUCAGCCUGGGCACUACCCACUAUGCCCUCUAGGAGUAACCUGCCCACCAGACCCAGGGUUUCCAAGACCACUUCGUGCCUGGGACAUCAGCAGGGCCCAUUUCUGUUCUCUGCCUUCCAGUGCUAGGGCAUGUAGAAAGCAGGGUGUUGCAGUCAGAGAUCUGGGUUCAGGUCCUAGUUCCAGCCCCUCACCCCCAAAACUGCAUGACCUUGAGGAAGCCCUGAGGCUUCGUUUCCUCUAAGGGUUCGUGCAAGGCUCCCAUUCAGAAUGAGACAGUUGUGUGAAAGUGCUUUGGCAACUGGCGAUUAAGGAUGGAGACCCAGAGUGACUUCUGCCCCACCUGGAGAUGCUUUCCCCAUAGAGCAGAGAACCAUUUCUGGUUCCCAGAUGGCAGGGCUUAUAGCAGGCCCUCUCAUUAAGUCAGGGCUUUCCUUCCCUCCCUCAAGCUUGCAACCUGGGCUGCAGAUGCCUUGUGACGUGGAUGCUGCCAGACACCACCCUGAGCCUCCCUGGGGUGGCAGUAUGGUCUGUGUCCCCGUACUUCUCUCCUCCCCACUGGGGAUUGUUUAAAAAGUACCAUUGCCUGAAACCUGUCCAGACCAAUUCAGGUGGCAUCACCAGAGGUGGUGCUCAGACACUGGUGUGUUUUUAAGGCUCCUCAGGAGAUUAUAACGUUCUAACACCUAGUCAGGCUGUGAGCCCUGUGCCAGGCAUCUAUGUAGCUACAGGGUCUCCCAAAUGUCAGGCCUGCUCACCCUGACCGAGCAGAAGUUGAAGACAGCCAUUCUGUCUUGGUCCUCUGCCUCCCCACCCCCCAGGUUGGGAUUAGGUAUGUCUGACAGGUCGAUAAGCAUGUCCCAGGCCCUCCGGCCUUCGUGGGGCCACAGCAGUCGAGUACUGGUUUCUCCGGGCUCCGGGUGUGGUAGGGAGGCAGUCUGAGGUAUUUUGAAGGUUUCUGAAAGUUAAUGGCUGGAAUCCCAUCAACUCAUCGCAGUAAUACUGCUUAUUUCAGCUAAUCAGAAGCUCCUCUUGGCAGUUAUGUGUACUUUUAAUGAAUAAAAAUGGGAAAUCCCUAAUUGCUAGUUAGUAAGAGGGGUUUGGUCGGCCAGAGAUUGUAGAAUAGGUCUGACAGAGCUGGGGAGCUCACAGUGGGAGUCCAGAUGGAAAUGCAGCUGCUUCUCUGUCCAGCUCUUCUCUUUGCUGUGUAGUUGAGACAUUUAUCAGCACCCUAGGGCCCCCUAGAAACCAUUGCACCAGCAGGCUGGCCUGAUGGGAUGAUGCCUGGGUGUUGUCCGCAGGUGGUCUGCACCAAGGAUCUUAAGUCUUUUUCUUGGAGUGAAGAGGGAAUGUGGAAACCCUUGCUCUGUGUGGUGGGACAGCAGCCCCCACAAGGUCUACCUCCUUGGUACCCCCAUUCAGCCUCAGACUUGACUGGGCCUGUCAUCAGGCAUUCAUCUGUUUCCUACCUUUGCUGUCUCCCUUGGCAUACUUACAUACACCCCAACCAAAUUGAUUUUUUAAAGCAUCACUUUGCACAUGUCACCACUCUCCUUAAAACCAACCUUCAGGGUAAAGCCCCAUUUCAGCCAUCUAGUUUACCCCCUCUAAACAAGCCACAUAGAGUUCAUGCCACCCCUGCCCAGAUGCCCUCUCUAUGCCCAGCUGCUCUCAAUUCAUUUUAUGCAGUUCUCACAUUUUGGAAUAUGCACUUUCUCCUCCUCUCCCCCCAUCUCCAUUAUUACCUUUUUGACAGUUUAUGGAACAUGGGGAUUAAGACCCUCUUUCUGAAGAGUUGACAGAGUCUCACAUAACCAUGGUAAGACUAGGUACUUUUUCCUUUUGAAAGUGAGCAGAACCUAGUACCCUCUGUUCAAUUUCCUUCACUAUUUUGUUACUUAUUUUUAAUUCCUUUCAUUUAUUUAGGUUCUCAAACAGUGUAACAUGAGAUCGUCCUGGUAAAUAUUUUAAUUGUCCUUGAAUUUAGUUGUCACUUGUUUGUUUUGUUAUCUUACAUUUUGUUCCUUCUUACUGAGUGAUGUUGAGUGUUGUAAAUCUCCAACUCUUGUUUACUAACUGAAUUUUGUUGUCAAAAUAUAUGUGUUCUGCUCUUUUCUAUUUAACUUAAUAUCUUACUUCCUAAGAUUAUUUUGAUAUGGUUUACCAUAUUUUUAAUGUUUCUAGUAAAUAUAGGUGCUUUGGUCUAUAAUUUUUUCAUAUAGUUAGAGUUCUUUCUACACUCCAAAAAUUUGACAUGUGAUAUGUUUUGUUAUUGUAUUAGGAAUUUCCUUUUGGCCUGUGUUACUUUUUUUUGCCAAAUAAUGAAUGUUUAGGUCAUUGCUGAUAUUUCUUAUUACCCCGUGGAGUCAACAUUUUUAAGUUUCCAUAAAACUUCUCUGGGCCUGAAUAUACUGUCAGUUUUUAUAAAGAAUUUGUGUACUUUCAAGAAAUGUGUUUCUACUCUAUCAGUUCUAUUUGUUAACUCAGUUUUUAAAUUAUUCAAAUCCAUAUUUGUUUACGUCAGAGUUCUUAACCUAGGAUCCGUGGACUGAUUAGGAAUCUGAGCCUGCAGGGGUUUUAGAGGUUGCAGACCCAUAGGGAUUGAACAAAACUGUGGAUAUGUGCGUGAAUGAGUUGUUCUGGGAAGGGGGUCUGUAUCAUUCGCCACAUUUUGGAAAAGCUCUGUGACCCAAAUAGUUAAGAACAUUAAUUUAUCUGGUCAAAUCAUAGCCUGAUUUUGUGUUUUUUGUUUAUGUAUUUCUAGUUCACUCUAAUUUCUGUUUCUGUUUUAUGUAUGUUGUUGCUAUGUUAGACGUGCAGUUCUCUUAAAUCCUUUCUGAGAAAUACACAGGAUACAAAUGACCAAUAAGCUGGCCCCCUCAGUCUUCCCCACCCCCAUCCUCCACGUCCGUGUUGGGGAGAAGGGAAGAGCACCGCCACCACUGCGAAAGCUGAAGAUGGUCCCUUCUGGCCACGCCUGUAGCAGGUGUGUCAUUGAAGCCAAUGGCUUACCAAAGAUGUGGCAAUUUAUUGUCAGAUCUAUGCAGCAGCCAUGGGGAAGAACAAUUCGGGAUGUAAUGCUGAAGCCCCAGUCAGCUGUUGCCAGGACUUCUCAGAGAUGGCAAGUGGUUUUGGCACUACAGACCAAGGUGACAACCAAAUGCCCUCAGAUCUGCUCACAGUUGCUCAGCUCUUGCAGACAGAUGGACAUUCACCAACACCACACAGGAUAGCUGCAUUUGUCCCAAUGCUGCUGCAUCAAGUUACUGGGGUUGGGGAAACAAACCCUCUUCUUGUGGGGGAACCCCAUCUUCAGUAUCUAAUAGCCCAAGAAACCAAAUAGAAGGUUGCCUGGCAACUGUGGAAUUCAGGUGUAGUGAGAUGGACUGCCCCUUCACCACAGGCCAUACAUCCACCCAGUCAUCGGAAUGCUUGUGGGAGGCACGUGCUGAACACUGUCCAACGUCUGCCGCCUUGCUGCCUGUCUGUCAGUGCGUCAGCAGCCUGCCCCUGCUGCCUUCUCCUUGGAGGAGGUUUAGAGGGUGUACCCUUCAUGGAUGCCUUCUCUUCGUGAUCCCCCCCAAGCCCUGUCACCCUCCAGUGGAAGCUUGCAAGCAUCUGAAUGGCUCUCAGGAGAUCUCCCCAAACUGAGAAGGGUCUUCUUGUUGGCUUUCAAUCCCUGCUUCCCUUUGCCGCCAACCCUUAGCCAGACUGCUCUUAUUCCUCCUAGAGAUAACCGGAAGCACCUCUAUUUCUCCCCUCCAGACUUCUCUUAGGUCUUCCAGCUCUUGAUACCCCUGACGUGGGAGAGGGGGUCACACGCAGCCAACCACUAACAGGCUCCCUGCAUAAUCCUCAGGCUCCCAUCUGGGACUGCUGUCGUCCCACUGCCCAGCUGGCUCCCUGGCUUCCCACCUCCGGCCUGGCUUCCCUCCAGCACCCAGAGUGACUGUUCCACCCCGCAGUCUGAUGGGGUCUCUCCCUCAACCACCCCUUUUGGUUUCUAGGUAAACAAGUGUAAAGGCCAGCCUGCAGACCUGUCCCGAUCUGACACGCCCUCCUUUCCCAGGCCAUGCUGCAGCCUCACCCAGCUCCCAGGUUCCCAAGCAUGACUUCCUCUGGUGGGAAGGGUGUCCUCUGGGGGACACUCCUCUCCCACCCACGAGAGGAGCAUGGGCCGAAGCCGGGGAGGCCUCUUCCAGGGUCAGCCAUGCUAGGAAGGCUAGCGCCACCCCAACCCCUUUGGUCUUGUGCUGUGUUCUGGGCGUCAGGAGCGACUGAGCCACAGAGGAUGGCCAAGUUCAGGGUCAGGAACAGCACUCCGGUUAGUGGUGAGUGAGAAGACAGAGGGAUCCGAGAUAGGGUGACUUUUGUCUUAUGUGUCACUGGGUCACUGUCACAUCAUUUAACCCUGGCUUAUUUUAUCUAUUUCCUGAAAAGUACUUCACAAGCACCCCAACUAUGGUUUGGCCCGAGUCCUCAUCCUCUGCAGCCUGGCUCCUGACCGGGACCUGCCAGGCCUCAGGCGGAUGCUCACAAGGGCUGAAGCUUGCCUCAUGCUUUGUUUCUUCCCCGUGUGAUGGGAGCCUGGGCCCAGCAGGAGUUUCGAGGGAAGGUGGGUUCAGAGCAGAGUGAGGUGGGAAGGCCUUGGAGCCGGUUUCAAGCAUCUGACUGGGCCCUUUGUCAUUUCCUGGGCUCAGGUACCAACAGUGAGAGCUCUGGCAGGAGCCUGCUUCCCUGUAGAAGCAGGAAGGGGAGUGAAAGGCAGGGCGAGGAAGAGACCCGACAAUCCAAAGAGAAAAGGGGGAACCUGGCUGGGGAAACAGCAGGUCUCCCCGUCAGACCUCAGCCCUGCCCCAAAGGGCAUAAGUGUGAGUGGGAUGGGAGGCCACCAGGGUGCAGUGAGUCUGACCUGGGCAGAGAGGCUGGGAGCAGGACUCCGCACCCCUGCCUGGUGCCUGCUGGCUUGCCUCCCCCGGCCUCUUUCCAGCAGCACAGUCACCUCCUGCUCCCCCUGGCCUCAGGCAUUCUGCAGGCCUGCAGCCAGACUUGCCUGGGAAGCCCAGCUCCAGAUAUGGGGUCCCAGGAAGCCAGGGAUCCUGGCUUAAUGCAUGAGUGCUGCCAGAUAAUGACAUUGUGCUUUACUUUUUAGAAAAUAAUGUCAAAUGUAGCAAAAAAUCUCUGCUAGCAAUUAAUGGAAUAACAGGACCCUGCAUAGGCAUCUGAUGGCGUCUUGAAUGAGGUCGUUAACAACCUCUUGGCCGUCCAUGGAGGAGAGUGUGUUCCAAGUGCAUAGCACACAUUCUUUCCAAGCACCCAUGGAGCAAAAGUGCUAGCUUUUAAAGAAAGUACAGGCAGCUAUUAAAGGGCUGAAGUACAGAUUGUGUUAUUGGAGCAUGAGGCAAGAAUCCGGAAAACCAGGCUGUGGUGUUACUUCUCCCUUUAACCAGGAUUCAAAGGUGAUCCGUUAGGAUUCCACGGACAAUGGUUAUAAGGGUCCAGACCUAUAAUUCUGAGAAGGGCUUCCUGCCAUGAGACUGGGAUCACCCUCCUUGAGAGGUCCUGCAGGAGGGUGGGGAUUGUGGGAGAGGGACCUUGAAAUCUGGGGAUUGUGACUAGGGGCUGCCUUCUUUCUCUACGUGCUUCUGCCAAACAUGUGGAGUCACAGAGUCGGUGCUAGUCUUUGGCAAGCAACCUCCCACUUGCCCAUGCUGUAUUUGGAAUUGAUCCUGGUUCUAAAUGAGGUCACUUUUUCCCUGUUCCAGUAGUUCCUGAGUAAGAUCUGUUUUUACUACUUUAACUUGUUGAUCUUUAAAAUAAAUGUUAUUUUACCAGCAAAAAUGGGUUUAUUCCGG